UAAAAAUACAAGAGAUUUUUCUUGAUUAAACUCGAUUCAUCGUGUACCCAAGAUAAGAAAAUCCUAUAUAAUAGUUGAGAUUUAAGCGUAAAUAUUUAACCCACUUCCAGAGCCUCCCUGAGAACAGAGAGACGAUUUAUGCAUUCUCCAGCAGCAAGAACCAGAAACGGGCAAUAAGCGAUUAAAGCGACUUUGGGCUCAGCUAUUAAUUGCCUCUGAUGGAUCCUCUCUUGGGUUGAGAGAGCAUUUGACAUGGCAAAUCGAGCAAAUGUCAAAUGAUGAUCAAUUAGUUGUGAGAGAAUACAGUCGUUUUAGGCACCCUGUAGAUAUGUUCUUCGCCGCUCUGCUCAUCAACCUUGAUAAUCCAUUUGCUUUUGCCAGUAAUCCCCUCGGUCUCAGGCUCGAAUUAGCACCAUCCUCCGCCAGGGUCUCUCUUAUCAUUAACAUUAGAUCUUCCGAUCAUAGUAACCUCCAUUCCUUUCCCAAUGGGGCGCUUGGUAGACCUCACAACAACUUCUUUCGUAUCCUUGGUGAUUCUCCUGAAAUGGCCUCCCAACCCUUUCUUUGCACCAACCAAGUUGUUUGCCACCACCACCGAUUUUGUUGGAUUAACAUCAAGCAAAUUCAGCAACCUUGUAUUCUCAUCAUUGUUACAGUCCACAAGAGAGAAAUCGAUGUUUUCUUAAUCUGGCAAUAGCUCUGACGGGUCACCAGUUCUGAAUUCCACAAUGUCCUUAAGACCUGAAUCUCUAAUUACUUUCUUUGAUUCAGCUAGAACUGGUUCAGGAAGAAUGCAAACGAGCCUGCCUCCAGUAUGUCGUGCAGCAGUUGCUAAGGCUACGGUUGAUGGUGACACAUCGGACGUAAUUUCCACAAUGAGUUUAGCUUUCAUUCCUGCUGCUAAUGCUGAUAUGAAUUCGUUGCUCCCUGUUUCCCGGGUCAUCCACAAGCCACAUCUCCUCUUG
rnacentral:misc_RNA from 1 species